AGAGUUUGAUCCUGGCUCAGAACGAACGCUGGCGGCAUGCCUAACACAUGCAAGUCGAACGAGACCUUCGGGUCUAGUGGCGCACGGGUGCGUAACGCGUGGGAAUCUGCCCCUUGGUUCGGAAUAACAGUUAGAAAUGACUGCUAAUACCGGAUGAUGACGUAAGUCCAAAGAUUUAUCGCCAAGGGAUGAGCCCGCGUAAGAUUAGCUUGUUGGUGAGGUAAAGGCUCACCAAGGCGACGAUCUUUAGCUGGUCUGAGAGGAUGAUCAGCCACACUGGGACUGAGACACGGCCCAGACUCCUACGGGAGGCAGCAGUGGGGAAUAUUGGACAAUGGGCGAAAGCCUGAUCCAGCAAUGCCGCGUGAGUGAUGAAGGCCUUAGGGUUGUAAAGCUCUUUUACCCGGGAUGAUAAUGACAGUACCGGAGAAUAGCCCGAUCCG
rnacentral:rRNA from 1 species